rnacentral:rRNA from 1 species
ACUGGAAUUUCUUGUGUAGGAGUGAAAUCCGUAGAUAUAAGAAGGAACACCAAUGGCGUAGGCAGGUGACUAGACCAUUUCUGACGCUAAGGCACGAAAGCGUGGGGAGCGAACCGGAUUAGAUACCCGGGUAGUCCACGCCGUAAACGAUGGAUACUAGCUGUUGGAGGUAUCGACCCCUUCAGUAGCGAAGCUAACGCGUUAAGUAUCCCGCCUGUGGAGUACGGCCGCAAGGCUAAAACAUAAAGGAAUUGACGGGGACCCGCACAAGCGGUGGAUCGUGUUCUUUAAUUCGAUGCUAAACGAAGAACCUUACCAGGGCUUGACAUCCAGGGAAUUUUUGGGAAACCAAUUAGUGCCUUUUGGAACCCUGUGACAGGUGAUGCAUGGCCGUCGUCAGCUCGUGUCGUGAGAUGUUUGGUUAAGUCCAUCAACGAGCGCAACCCUUGCAACUAGUUGGAUUUUUCUAGUUGGACUGCCCCGGUAACGGGGAGGAAGGAGGGGAUGAUGUCAGGUCAGUAUUUCCCUUACGUCCUGGGCUAGAAACACGAUACAAUGGCUAGUACAAUGCGCAGCGAAGCCGCGAGGUGGAGCAAAUCGCAUCAAAGCUAGUCCCAGUUCGGAUUGGAGGCUGAAACUCGCCUCCAUGAAGUCGGAAUCGCUAGUAAUCGCAGAUCAGCAAGCUGCGGUGAAUACGUUCCCGGGUCUUGUACACACCGCCCGUCAAACCAUGAAAGUGACCAACACCCGAAGUCCGAUUCGUCGGCCUAAGGUGGGGGGCAUGAUUGGGGUUAAGUCGUAACAAGGUAUCCGUACCGGAAGGUGCGGAUG